rnacentral:rRNA from 1 species
AACGAACGCUGGCGGCAGGCUUAACACAUGCAAGUCGAACGGUUGUAGCAAUACAGCAGUGGCAGACGGGUGAGUAACACGUGGGAACCUUCCUAGGGGUACGGAACAACUCAGGGAAACUUGAGCUAAUACCGUAUACGUCCGUGAGGAGAAAGAUUUAUCGCCCUUAGACGGGCCCCGCGUAGGAUUAGGUAGUUGGUGGGGUAAUGGCCUACCAAGCCUACGAUCCUUAGCUGAUCUGAGAGGAUGAUCAGCCACACUGGGACUGAGACACGGCCCAGACUCCUACGGGAGGCAGCAGUGGGGAAUCUUGGACAAUGGGCGCAAGCCUGAUCCAGCCAUGCCGCGUGAGUGAAGAAGGCC